CUGAUGCAGCCAUGCCGCGUGUGUGAAGAAGGCCUUCGGGUUGUAAAGCACUUUCAGCGAGGAGGAAAGGUUGGUAGCUAAUAACUGCCAACUGUGACGUUACUCGCAGAAGAAGCACCGGCUAACUCCGUGCCAGCAGCCGCGGUAAUAC
rnacentral:rRNA from 1 species